AGCUGCCUCUCCCGCCGAGUUGGAGACGGAUGGGCUGGGACGGGUUUUGGGGGGGUGUCCCCAAUUCUGACUGGGAGUGGAGAAGCCCCUUCCAGAGCUCUCUUGUGGGGGUCCCCCUUCUCCAGGGCACUCCCCAGUCCCUGAGGCAGCCGAGAGGAAGGAGGCCAGCGAUGCGACUGGGGCGGCUCCUUUCUCCUGCACCCCAAAUGUGAGGGAUGCACCCCAAAUUUUGCUCCUUUCAAAAUAGGGGACCAGGAUCUCAGGGGAGAGUAGCUGAGGUCUUGCUCAAGUCCCAGGCGAUCCACAGGUCCAGAGUGAACAAUCAAGACGGUCAGAAGUAGGAGGCUCAGCAGGAGAGUAGAGGAGCAUCAACAGAGAUUGUGAGAAGGCCAGACUCUAGGGUCAGGCUGUCUGGAACAGGAAGUAAAAUGGACCAAGAUGGAGAGAGCCCCAAGUACGUUUCCAAGACAACUCCCACCUUCCCAAACACCCUGCUACUUAUUGAUCCAAUCCCCUGUACCGGGAGCACCUUCCUUUCCCAGGCCCCUGCACAAGGGAGGGGCUCCUGCUGGGACCCUCCCCUGCCAGCUAGUCUUCAAGGGAAUGCUAGCAAAACUAGCAACAAUGUAAGAAAGAUACUUAAUUGGAAGGGAUUUCUGAACAAUGAAUAGAUGAGGAAGAAAGUUGCCCACCCCCCUUUCUCUUCCAGCCACCCUCCCUCACACUGUCCGUUCCUUGAUGACACAGCUGAUGUGAUUAAGAUCGUCCCCAAAUCGCUUCA